rnacentral:ncRNA from 1 species
UUCCGGGCGCUGCGUCUACUCCACAAACAUAGGCGCAGCUUCCGAAAAAAGGAGGAAAAAAAGCCCGGCUCGGGCUGCGGCAGUGUGGAGACCUGCCGUAAUGCGGGACAUCCCAAAGCGGAUGGCCGCGAGGGCGUACCAAGCGAAGGCUGUACGUCCGGAGCAUGAAAAAAUGGCG